ACCGUGAUAGCUAAGUAGGGAGAGCGUUUAACUGAAGAUCUAAAUGUCCCUGGUUUGAUCCCGGGUGUCGAUA
rfam:Schistocephalus solidus strain NST_G2 genome assembly, scaffold: SSLN_scaffold0016862